rnacentral:rRNA from 1 species
UACAGAGGUCUCAAGCGUUGUUCGGAUUCAUUGGGCGUAAAGGGUGCGUAGGCGGUUUGACAAGUCUGAUGUGAAAUCCCGCAGCUUAACUGCGGAACUGCAUUGGAAACUGUUUGACUAGAGGAAUGGAGGGGAGACUGGAAUACUUGGUGUAGCAGUGAAAUGCGUAGAUAUCAAGUGGAACACCAGUGGCGAAGGCGAGUCUCUGGACAUUUCCUGACGCUGAGGCACGAAAGCCAGGGGAGCAAACGGG